rnacentral:lncRNA from 1 species
GUGUGAGCUUUGGACUAGAGUGUCUAAAUGACUUCUUCUUCACAAUAACAUGUUCCUUAAAUGGAACCAACAUUGAACAUAGCAUCAAUACCACUGAUACGAGCAGUAAUAUGAAGGCAUGGCUGCAAGCUCAAGACUGGGAGGGUGAAAAUUCUUCUUGUGAGCUGACGAGAGGAGUAGACUCCUGGGGGUGUGCACUGUAUACAUUUGUGCCUGGUGGCUUCUCAUUUACCGAUGAAGACCGAUACCAGAUCUCACUCUUCACCAGUCUCCAUGGCAACAACAGCUCCGUGGUGCUGCAGCCAAAGUACUGGCCAAGGAAUCACAGUGAGGAAUCACAUAGAAACAACCCAUACAUGCAAUCCACUCACUAGUGCUCACUCCCUAAACACUAACGUCUAAGAAUACUGAUGCUCAGCAAGUGAACUCAAAUCUAAAUAGGCUACUAAUAAAACACAUAAAUACACACAUACUCACACUCAGUAAGAUGAAAAGGCAUGGUCUGACAGCAGCUUUCCCUUUCCAGUUAAACCCAUCCCUCCCGAGAACCUCUCCAUGCAGUGGGUAGGGGAAGAUGCCGUGUUCGGCUGGCAGAGUGGGUAUCAACCACGGAGCAGCGUGUACGAGGAGCAUGUCCGUCUCAUCCCUAACCUGAAGUAUCAGCUCCUCCUGGUGACAACACAGGGCCACAGGGUAAAGCACAUAAACACAUCUCUCUGUACUGGAACGAAAAAGAGCCAAGUUGGACCCUAUUUAGAUAUAUAAUCAGUCUGCCUCAUACAUACACAUAGAUGCAGGAUUGAUGUGAGAUGCAACAUACUGUUGAUUGGAUCAAACACCAGCAAUGAUAAGAUUGCCUUUCUCUCAUGUUUUGACGUGAGGGGAAUGCAUGUAUGUAGACAUUAUCAUGUGUGGAUAUCUGUGUUUUGUUGUGACUGUGGAAAUAGGAAGAAAUCUUCACAACGAACAGAAACCUUUCAGUAGCCAUGUCGGUCUUCUCUCCUGGCUCUGAGUACUUGGCAACAGUGCGAUCACAGCCCAAUCAGAUCUACUAUAAGGGAGUGUGGAGCCAAUGGGCACCCAUCCUCCACUGGAGAACAGCCAAUCACCAGGAUACAUCUCUGCCGACUGGUUCAGUGAUCUUCAUUUGCCUGUUUCUCACACUGUUCCUAAUCAGCUAUGUCCUACUGGUCAGGUGGAAAAAACAUGCUGAGAUCCCACACCCAGUCAUUUAUGUCACCGAGUGUGGAGACUUCCCUGGACAUGCGUGCAUGGUGGGGAUUCCAUUACACGAGGAGUCUUUGAAGAUCGACACCGUAACGUUGCAAUCCAUCAAGGCAGGCAUCAACCCAUACGAACAACUGUUGGUUACCAUUGGCAACAAGGACCAACUGAACAGCUUCACAGGCAAUGCAGGCUGUGUGCUGCUUGACUCCAUGACAACACAGAUGGACAGACUGCACUGCAGUGAGGACUACAGCAUCCUCACUACCUUAACACCAUAA